rnacentral:tRNA from 1 species
GUAUUAGUAGCUCAGUGUCCAGAGCAUCGACCUUGUAAGCCGACCGCCGAAGGUUUAAAUCCUUCCUAGUACU